rnacentral:rRNA from 1 species
AUGUACCUAGCGAGCGCAACGAGGCCUGACAUCGCGUUUGCUGUGAGCAAACUGAGCCGGUUUGUUUCCAAACCGGGUGAUGUACAUUGGCAUGCUGUUGAAAGAGUUAUGCGCUAUCUGAAAGGUACUAUGAACUAUGGACUUCACUAUACCGGAGACCCGUCGGUACUUGAAGGGUAUAGUGAUGCGAAUUGGAUCUCUGAUGCUGAUGAGAUGAAGGCCACAACUGGGUAUAUGUUUACUCCUGGAGGUGGCGCUGUUUCCUGGAAGUCUUGCAAGCAAACGAUCUUAACGAGAUCGACAAUGGAAGCAGAAUUAACAGCAUUAGACACUUCUGGUGUUGAAGCAGGAUGGCUUCGAGAUCUUUUGAUGGACUUGCCACUGGUUGAUAAACCGGUUCCGGCUAUCCUUAUGAACUGUGACAAUCAGACUGUCAUCACCAAGGUGAAGAGUUCAAAGGACAACAUGAAGUCCAAUAAACACAUAAGAAUGAGAUUAAAAGUUGUCAGAAAAUUAAGAAACUCCGGAGUGAUAGUGCUGGACUAUGUCCAUACGGCUAAGAAUCUGGCAGAUCCCUUUACGAAAGGGCUAUCACGUGUAGUGAUAGAUAGUGCAUCGAGGGAGAUGGGUAUAAGACCCACAUGA